AACGAACGCUGGCGGCAUGCCUAACACAUGCAAGUCGAACGAGACCUUCGGGUCUAGUGGCGCACGGGUGCGUAACGCGGGGGAAACUGCCCUUAGGUCGGAAUAACUCCCCGAAAGGGGUGCUAAUACCGGGUAAUGUUUUCAGACCAAAGAUUUAUCGCCUUUGGAUGGGCCCGCGUUGGCUUAGCUAGUUGGUAGGGUAAACGCCUACCAAGGCGACGUUCCAUAGCUGGUCUGAGAGGAUGAUCAGCCACACUUGGACUGAGAGACGGCCCAGACUCCUACGGGAGGCAGCAGUGGGUAAUAUUGGACAGUGGGCUAUAUCCUGAUCCUGCAAUGCCGCGUGAGUGAUGAAGGCCUUAGGGUUGUAAAGCUCUUUUACCCGGGAUUAUAAUGACGGUACCAGGAGAAUAAGCUCCGGCUAACUCCGUG
rnacentral:rRNA from 1 species